ACCGGGAUCGCCUGGCGGCAAGGGUGCUGCGCUUUGAACGCAGAACAUCGCGGGUUCGCCUCCCUCUCCCGGUGCCA
rnacentral:tRNA from 1 species